rnacentral:piRNA from 1 species
UGUAUAAGCCAUAGCUAAUACCAGAAUGC